UACGUAGGGUGCAAGCGUUGUCCGGAAUUAUUGGGCGUAAAGAGCUCGUAGGCGGUUUGUCGCGUCUGCUGUGAAAUCCCGAGGCUCAACCUCGGGCCUGCAGUGGGUACGGGCAGACUAGAGUGCGGUAGGGGAGAUUGGAAUUCCUGGUGUAGCGGUGAAAUGCGCAGAUAUCAGGAGGAACACCGGUGGCGAAGGCGGGUCUCUGGGCAGUAACUGACGCUGAGGAGCGAAAGCGUGGGGAGCGAACAGG
rnacentral:rRNA from 1 species